rnacentral:rRNA from 1 species
GACGUAGGGAGCGAGCGUUGUCCGGAUUCAUUGGGCGUAAAGGGUCCGUAGGCGGCUCAGCAAGUCGGGUGUGAAAUCUCCAGGCUCAACCUGGAGGGGCCACCCGAUACUGCUGUGGCUUGAGUCCAGUAGGGGAGCAUGGAAUUCCCGGUGUAGCGGUGAAAUGCGCAGAUAUCGGGAGGAACACCAGUGGCGAAGGCGGUGCUCUGGGCUGGAACUGACGCUGAUGGACGAAAGCGUGGGUAGCAAACAGGAUUAGAAACCCCCGUAGUCC